rnacentral:rRNA from 1 species
GACGAACGCUGGCGGCGUGCUUAACACAUGCAAGUCGAACGGAAAGGCCCCUUUGGGGGUACUCGAGUGGCGAACGGGUGAGUAACACGUGAGUAACCUGCCCUUGACUUCGGGAUAACUUCAGGAAACUGGGGCUAAUACCGGAUAGGAAUCCUUGCUGCAUGGUGGGGGUUGGAAAGCUUCGGCGGUUUUGGAUGGACUCGCGGCUUAUCAGCUUGUUGGUGGGGUAGUGGCUUACCAAGGCUUUGACGGGUAGCCGGCCUGAGAGGGCGACCGGCCACAUUGGGACUGAGAUACGGCCCAGACUCCUACGGGAGGCAGCAGUGGGGAAUAUUGCACAAUGGGCGGAAGUCUGAUGCAGCAACGCCGCGUGCGGGAUGACGGCCUUCGGGUUGUAAACCGCGUUCAGCAGGGGCGAAGCUUGUGGUGACGGUACCUGCAGAAGAAGCACCGGCUAACUACGUG